rnacentral:rRNA from 1 species
GUAGCGGUGAAAUGCGUAGAGAUGUGGAGGAAUACCGGUGGCGAAGGCGGCCUUCUGGACAGAUACUGACGCUGAGAUGCGAAAGCGUGGGGAGCAAACAGGAUUAGAUACCCUGGUAGUCCACGCUGUAAACGAUGUCGAUUUGGAGUUUGUUGCCUAGAGUGAUGGGCUCCGAAGCUAACGCGAUAAAUCGACCGCCUGGGGAGUACGGCCGCAAGGUUAAAACUCAAAUGAAUUGACGGGGGCCCGCACAAGCGGUGGAGCAUGUGGUUUAAUUCGAUGCAACGCGAAGAACCUUACCUGGUCUUGACAUCCACAGAAUCUUGUAGAGAUACGAGAGUGCCUUCGGGAACUGUGAGACAGGUGCUGCAUGGCUGUCGUCAGCUCGUGUUGUGAAAUGUUGGGUUAAGUCCCGCAACGAGCGCAACCCUUAUCCUUUGUUGCCAUCGAUUCGGUCGGGAACUCAAAGGAGACUGCCGUUGAUAAAGCGGAGGAAGGUGGGGACGACGUCAAGUCAUCAUGGCCCUUACGACCAGGGCUACACACGUGCUACAAUGGCGUAUACAAAGGGAGGCGACCUCGCGAGAGUAAGCGGACCUCACAAAGUACGUCUAAGUCCGGAUUGGAGUCUGCAACUCGACUCCAUGAAGUCGGAAUCGCUAGUAAUCGUGAAUCAGAAUGUCACGGUGAAUACGUUCCCGGGCCUUGUACACACCGCCCGUCACACCAUGGGAGUGGGUUGCACCAGAAGUAGAUAGCUUAACCUUCGGGAGGGCGUUUACCACGGUGUGGUUCAUGACUGGGGUGAAGUCGUAACAAGGUAACCGUAGGGGAACCUGCGGUUGGAUCACCUCCUUAC